UGCAAGUGAGGGUGAUGGUGGCACGGACAAGGGAAGUGGAAAUGGAGAUGGAGGUGAAUGGAAGGAUUUAGGGUACAUGUUAGAAGUGGCACUGGCGGGACCUGCUGACAGGGUGUAAAGGAAAAGGAGAAAUCAAGGAAGCCAGCGGAUGCAAAGACUGGGGGGCAAACAGGUGUUUUAGCUGGAAAUGACAAGUUCAGUUUUAAAUACAGUAAGUUGACAUUGCUUGUGAGACAUAUAUUCCUUUAAACAUUCUCUGAUUUAGUCUAGGUUUGCCCCUAUUUGUCUGAAUUAAAUGAGCUUCCUGGGUCAUGCUCUAGAAACUCCACUCAAGUUCCUGCCUGAGAUUCUGGACAAGAGUUGGUCGUUCCUUAAUGGCAACAGUGAUAUCAUAGACUUGAGAAGAUGUCCUAAUUUCCCAUUUAGAGAGGCCCCUCCUGGUCUCUGGUUGUGCUCAGCUUUUCUUUCCCUUUAGAGACCUCCCCGGGGCAUCUGCAUUGCAGAUGGGCGAGGCAGUGGGGCAGGUAGACCAAGGACACCCAGAAGGCAGAGAGACAACUGGGUCAUAGACCUCAACAUGCGACCCUCAGUUACCCUGGAUUGGGCGGUUAGUGUUUGGGCUUCUUUCUAUUUAGGUUGCGGAUAAACAGUGAAUAAUCAAAGAAAAAGAGAGCAUAUGAGAUGAGAUGUUUAGUUUGCAGAAAGUUGAGGUAGGAGAGAAAGCCAGCAGCCUGUCAGGAAAGAGGGGAGGGAGUCAGGAUUGCCUGUGCAACCGAUGGAAAGAACCCAGCAGAGGGUCUUGAAGAACCAAACAGAUGAGCUCAUUUCCUCAAGGACCAGGAAUCUGGAGAAAGGAUGCAUUCUAACUUGAGUGUGGAGGAUACAGAUUAUAACUAUGAAGAGAUGUGCGCUUCCCAGAUAAGCAGGUAGCAGAAGAUCUGGGCUGAGGGUAGAGGGUAGAUUUCAAGGACUAAGCAAUGCAGUCUAGCUUUGUUUUCAGUUUUUUUGUUUUGUUUUGUUUUGACUUUUUCUGUUCUUGUUUUUUAGUGCAAACUAAAGCAAUCUCUAGAGGCAAAUGACCUGAAUGCUUAAGACCAUAUGUAUGGUUUUUUCACAAGGAUCUUUAUAUCACUGAUAUUCCUCUGUCACCACAUGGCUGGAAGUUAGUGUCAGCUCACUAAUUUCAAUUCAUGAAAUGGCAAAGACCAUGGGCACUGGAGUCAGAGAGCUUGGGUUUGAAUCCUAACCCUGCCAUCUACUAUGACAUUGGACAUGUUACUUAGACCCUCUGUAUCUCAACUACUUCAUCUUUAAAAUGGGGUCAACGGACUUCCCUGGCGGGCCAGUGGUUAAGACUCCAUGCUUCCAAUGCAGGGGAGACGGGUUCAAUCCCUGAUCCCACCUGCCUCGUGCCCUACUCCCCACCACCCAAAUGGGAACCAUGAUAGUCCCUACCCAACAGGGCUGUGGUGAGGAUAAAAGGAGUGAAUGCAUGUUAAGCCCUUGAAGUAGUUCCUGGCACAUACUAAGCCCACUAAAAUACCAUUUCUUAUAGGAAAAGAACAGAGGAGAAAACGGGACAACAAGUUGUAGCUCCUUAGUCCCCCAAGUUUUCUGUGAGAUCGAAGAAGAGGCCAGAGUAAACAUAGGUGAUUUACCACGUCAUCUUGGCAUGCGGGCAUGAGUACCCGGGGACCCACUGGAUCCUACAUUAGAAGAAGAGGAGGCUUGUGGGAUCUUAGUUCCCUGACCAGGGAUCGAACCCAUGCCCCCUGCAUUGGAAGGGCGGAGUCUUAACCACUGGACCACCAGGGAAGUACCUGAGAUACGGUACCUGGAACAGCAGUGGCCACCGUGCAGCCCUGGGGAAUCCCAGCUGGAGCAAUGCCAGUGCCCCGAGGAUGACCGA